rnacentral:rRNA from 1 species
UACAGAGGUCUCAAGCGUUGUUCGGAUUCAUUGGGCGUAAAGGGUGCGUAGGUGGCGGGGUAAGUCUGGUGUGAAAUCUCGGGGCUCAACCCCGAAACUGCACUGGAUACUGCCUUGCUUGAGUACUGAAGAGGAGAUUGGAAUUUACGGUGUAGCAGUGAAAUGCGUAGAUAUCGUAAGGAAGACCAGUGGCGAAGGCGAAUCUCUGGACAGUUACUGACACUGAGGCACGAAGGCCAGGGGAGCAAACGGG